rnacentral:rRNA from 1 species
UACGGGGGGGGCAAGCGUUGUUCGGAAUUACUGGGCGUAAAGGGCUCGUAGGCGGCCAACUAAGUCGGAUGUGAAAUCCCCAGGCUUAACCUGGGAACUGCAUCCGAUACUGGAUGGCUUGAGUACGGGAGAGGGUAGUGGAAUUCCCGGUGUAGUGGUGAAAUGCGUAGAUAUCGGGAGGAACACCAGUGGCGAAGGCGACUACCUGGCCUGUUCUUGACGCUGAGGCGCGAAAGCUAGGGGAGCAAACGGG